GAAAACCCAAGGUCCUAAGGCAUAGAGGAGGAUCUGAGACUUUUAAAAAAGUUUAUAACAGAUUCGUUUAACCAACUCCGUGACAGCCUGAGUCACUGCGCCAAUCCUAAAGCAAUGUGAUCUAAACUCUUUUGCGACCAAACUGCAAAGCCAUAAGGCAUUGCCAGAGCACAGCAAUAAACUAAAAACAUGACUAUAUUGACUCAUAUUGACUCAUCCAUGUAACCAGCUUCGCACCCUAACAAAAUUUUGGAAACACAGCACAUGGCAAAUCCUGCAUCUGAUUCCGACAGUCUUUUAGCCCCUUUGUCCACUUUUGAUUUAAAAAUUCUAACCCGCAGAGUUGACUUGCACAGCUCAAUUUACUGCAAUUGGGCCCCCUUCCUUUUUCGUGCAAGUUGCAAAUUCUGUCCAGACAGUGCCUCCAAUAACGUGGUGAUGCUUGCCUUAAAGGUGGUCAUACACAGGGAGAUCCUCUUGUUUGGUGACCAGAUAUGCACACAUUAAGGUGGGCAAUAUUGGGCUGAUCCGAUCGGGGGCCCUAGUGCCCAAUGAUCCGCACAGAAUGGAGGCAACGUUGGCGGUCAGAUUGCAGGACCGCAUCAACUAACAGGUGCGCCCGCCAUUCAACAGGGUUUUUUACCCUGCCCUAUCGACAUCUGGCGGACUUAUGUCCAGAUAUCAAUUGGGGAAGCCCGUCGGAAGAGCCCCACCCACGGGACAAUAAGCUGCUGACUCAGUCUGUCGGCAGCUUUUAUAGGCCCAUAUAUGCAGUCCUUACUGUACAAAAAUAAAAACCAUAGCACCAAAUUCUUCCUCUCCCUAUCACUUAAACACCUUUCCACCUUUUUCAACUGCCGCCAUACCCUACUGAAUGAUUCCCACAUGGCUGCUGCCAAAGAAUUCCUAAUGC